rnacentral:rRNA from 1 species
GACGAACGCUGGCGGCGUGCUUAAUACAUGCAAGUCGAACGGAGUGGCGAACGGGUGAGUAACACGUGGGGGACCUGCCCUGCACUUCGGGAUAAGCCUGGGAAACUGGGUCUAAUACCGGAAAGUGUGGGAUGGGCCCGCGGCCAAUCAGCUUGUGGGUGGGGUAAUGGCCUACCAAGGCGGCGACGGGUAGCCGGCCUGAGAGAGUGGACGGCCACAGUGGGACUGAGACACGGCCCAGAAGCGUACGGGAGGCAGCAGAGGGGAAUAUUGCACAAUGGGCGGAAGCGUGAGGCAGCGACGCCGCGUGGGGAAUGACGGCCUGCGGGUUGUAAACUCCUUUCACCAUCGACGCGGUAGAUGUAGAGGAAGCACCGGCUAACUACGUGCCAGCAGCCGCGGUAAUAC